GAUGAAGAACGCAGCGAAAUGCGAUACGUAAUGUGAAUUGCAAAUUCAGUGAAUCAUCGAGUCUUUGAACGCACAUUGCGCCCCCUGGUAUUCCGGGGGGCAUGCCUGUCCGAGCGUCAUUGCUGCCCUCAAGCACGGCUUGUGUGUUGGGCCCCGUCCUCCGAUCCCGGGGGACGGGCCCGAAAGGCAGCGGCGGCACCGCGUCCGGUCCUCGAGCGUAUGGGGCUUUGUCACCCGCUCUGUAGGCCCGGCCGGCGCUUGCCGAUCAACCCAAAUUUUUAUCCAGGUUGUCCUCGGAUCAGGUAGGGAUACCCGCUGAACUUAAGCAUAUCAAUAAGCGGAGGA
rnacentral:misc_RNA from 1 species